rnacentral:rRNA from 1 species
UGUGCCCUACGGGGCGCAGCAGUGAGGAAUAUUGGUCAAUGGGCGGAAGCCUGAACCAGCCACGUCGCGUGAGGGAAUAAGGCCCUACGGGUCGUAAACCUCUUUUGCCGGGGAGCAAGGGCCGGGCCGCGUCCCGGCCCGGAGAGUACCCGGAGAAAAAGCAUCGGCUAACUCCGUGCCAGCAGCCGCGGUAAUACGGAGGAUGCGAGCGUUAUCCGGAUUUAUUGGGUUUAAAGGGUGCGUAGGCGGGCUUUUAAGU